GCAGGAGUCGAGGGCUGGCAGGGAGGAGCUGAUUUCUGGGUCUAGUGUGUGGAGUGAACCUCUCAAUUCCCAUCCCUUCGACUCGGGGUGUGGGCUCUGCCCCCCUUUCUUUGCCAUCUCCGUGGGGUUUCCAUCGGACGUGGGUCAGAGAUCCCAGUCUGAUGGGAAUGGAGGGCGGCCUCACUUCCAUCCUGUACUAGGUACGGACCCCACCCCCUCCCCCUGGGUCUCUGAUGUCACAGAGCCACCCGUGUGUUCCUGGUGGGCUUGGUACCGCAGACCCUCCACCGAGGCUUCUGAAUGGGUCCCUUCCCCGUGGACAAGAAAAGUCCGACCUGUCUUGUCCUCCUGCCUGAGCGCCUCCGUGGUGUUCGGUGUCUGGGAUGCAUUUCCACUAGCCAUUUGCUUGCAAACUGAAUGAAAGGCACCUUCUGGCCUGUGUAUUUCAGCUCAAGACAGAGUGAUGAAGUACCCACUGUGACUUUUCCGAUGGCAAAUCCCAUGCAGCACGACCUCUGGUGGGGAGGGCUGGGGGUGGAGUUGUGCACACCCUCUGGUCUCCGGCAGCAUGGUCCUCUUCUCCCUGGGCGCUGGGUGGAUCCGCCUUCCCUCACUGUGACUGUGACCCCAGGAGCAGCGUGUGAAACUGCCCCGUCGUGCUUGGACCAGGAGGUGGGGAUGGCAGAGCAGGGAACCUUCUGCCUUGGACUGGAGGGGAUCUUGACCGCCCACCCAGAGGGAUGCCACAGUGACUCUGGGCUGGUGCGUGGAUGGCCCCUCCUUCCUGCGGGCUGGCUGGCGGUGCCGACAGGUUGGCAUGCCAGCGCCGGAGGGUUGUCUUGAGGGCUUAGUGGCAUCAAUGCUCCAAAAAUGUGGAAAACUGUUAAUGACGCUUUGCCCCAUGCCAUAUUCGAGGGCUCAAUCCUAGCUGGCGUUCCUGUGCCACAGGUGAGCUCUCCCUGCUGCUCUCCUGCAUUCCGUCCUGGGUCUCAUCCUCACCUGCCAUUGCAGGUUCACUUGAUUUACGACCUGUGUUUUAUAAACUGGGCCUCUGCAAGCAUUG